UACGUAGGGUGCGAGCGUUGUCCGGAAUUACUGGGCGUAAAGGGCGCGUAGGCGGCCUUCUAAGUCGAACGUGAAAUCCCCGGGCUCAACCCGGGAACUGCGUCCGAUACUGGAAGGCUUGAAUCCGGGAGAGGGAUGCGGAAUUCCAGGUGUAGCGGUGAAAUGCGUAGAGUAUCUGGAAGGAACACCGGUGGCGAAGGCGGCGAUCCUGGACCGGUAGUUGACGCUGAGGUGCGAAAGCGUGGGAGCAA
rnacentral:rRNA from 1 species